AAGCUCGUAGUUGGAUUUCUGUUAAUAAUUUAUAUAAAAUAUUUUGAAUAUUUAUAUAACAUUAACAUAAUUCAUAUUACUAUAUUUUUUAGUAUAUGAAAUUUUACUUUGAGAAAAUUAGAGUGCUUAAAGCAGGCAUAUGCCUUGAAUACUCCAGCAUGGAAUAAUAUUAAAGAUUUUUAUCUUUUUUAUUGGUUCUAAGAUAAGAAUAAUGAUUAAUAGGGACAGUUGGGGGCAUUUGUAUUUAACAGUCAGAGGUGAAAUUCUUAGAUUUGUUAAAGACAAACUAAUGCGAAAGCAUUUGCCAAGGAUGUUUUCAUUAAUCAAGAACGAAAGUUAGGGGAUCGAAGACGAUCAGAUACCGUCGUAGUCUUAACCAUAAACUAUGCCAACUAGAGAUUGGAGGUUGUUCCUUACUCCUUCAGCACCUUA
rnacentral:rRNA from 1 species